AGGACGAACGCUGGCGGCGUGCUUAACACAUGCAAGUCGAGCGGAAAGGCCCUUCGGGGUACUCGAGCGGCGAACGGGCGAGUAACACGUGAGUAACCUGCCCCUAGCUCUGGGAUAGCUCCGGGAAACCGGGAUUAAUACCAGAUACGACCACUUUAGACAUCUGUCGUGGUGGAAAGGAUUCCGGCUAGGGAUGGGCUCGCGGCCUAUCAGCUUGUUGGUGGGUAACGGCCUACCAAGGCGACGACGGGUAGCCGGCCUGAGAGGGCGACCGGCCACACUGGGACUGAGACACGGCCCAGACUCCUACGGGAGGCAGCAGUGGGAAUAUUGCGCAAUGGGCGAAAGCCUGACGCAGCGACGCCGCGUGGGGAUGAAGGCCUUCGGGUUGUAAACCCCUUUCAGCAGGGACGAAGCGAAAGUGACGGUACCUGCAGAAGAAGCGCCGGCUAACUACGUGCCAGCAGCCGC
rnacentral:rRNA from 1 species